rnacentral:rRNA from 1 species
GACGAACGCUGGCGGCGUGCCUAAUACAUGCAAGUAGAACGCUGAAGGAGGAGCUUGCUUCUCUGGAUGAGUUGCGAACGGGUGAGUAACGCGUAGGUAACCUGCCUGGUAGUGGGGGAUAACUAUUGGAAACGAUAGCUAAUACCGCAUAAUAGCAGUUGUUGCAUGAUAACUGUUUGAAAGGUGCAAUUGCACCGCUACCAGAUGGACCUGCGUUGUAUUAGCUAGUUGGUGGGGUAACGGCUCACCAAGGCGACGAUACAUAGCCGUCCUGAGAGGGUGAUCGGCCACACUGGGACUGAGACACGGCCCAGACUCCUACGGGAGGCAGCAGUAGGGAAUCUUCGGCAAUGGACGGAAGUCUGACCGAGCAACGCCGCGUGAGUGAAGAAGGGUUUCGGAUCGUAAAGCUCUGUUGUAAGAGAAGAACGAGUGUGAGAGUGGAAAGUUCACACUGUGACGGUAUCUUACCAGAAAGGGACGGCUAACUACGUG